rnacentral:lncRNA from 1 species
AUGCAUUGUUCACAUUACCCUCUCUCACUGUCCUCUGCAACAUUGUUCAACGGGAAAACCACGACCAAAGGCGGGGGUGGUGCCCUGAGCACCACAGCUCCGGUUCUGCUGGCACCAGCCCGCAUCCCGCGCCACGCUCCUCCAGCGGGUGUCACCUGCAGUUCCUGGGCGCCUGUCUCUCCCCAGCUCUGCUCCUGGGUCCCUGAGUGUCAGGGCCCCGCUGGGCCCUUAGCCGCGUCAUUGCACGGAGCAGCCCAGGCUUCUUCCUUCAGGCCGACUUGGCUGCUGAAAGACAAUAUGCCGGCUAGCUCCGGGUCCACUUCGCCUUCUAGGACUGCGGUGACAGAAGAUGAAACAAAUCCUUACAAGAGAGGGGGUGAAACCAUGAUUCUGCAAGCGUCUCAAGGGCAGGAAACCCCACGAUCCAUCCAGUCUUACCAGAACGCACGCACGGCUCCACUGGAGAUGCUCGAUGCAUGUUCAGAAGCAGAUACGUGAGUGAAUAAAAGCUGAAGCCCAAUCAGUCUUUCAUUUUCUAAGUAGACUUUCCAUUGUUAUGACUUUGUUUUCUCUAUUACCUCUGCCCCAGAAUUCAUACUUUCAUGAAUAGUUAAGAAAAUUUUGAGCCUUAUGCAAAUGUUUUCCCAGAAUAUAACCAGUGCCUGGUACCUUUGGCCCUCUGCGCACACUUUUUGGGAGCUGAAAUGGUUCCUUAAAUCACAUCAGACUCCUCAUCUUUCCUCCCUGUCAAUCAUCAUAGGGCACUGACAAAUCCAUCCAUUCAUUCAACACAGUGAGUGCAUUGAUCUAACCCUGGGAAACAGCAAUGAAGAUGCAGUCCUUUUUCCCCCAGCUAUUUCCAGGCCUAUGGGGAGAGUGCUGUGCAAACAAAUUAAACUACACCCAAGUAAAUAUCCAGGCCCUGUAGGAGAAGUCUCAAGAGUUCAAUGAGAUGCCAGGAAGGGCAUGACAGAUGCUACCCCAGUCUUCGAGAACAGUAGGCACUGUCCAGCCCUAGGCAGGCCCUUAGCUGAGCCUCAGGGACCACCUGAGUGGGGCCAGGGACCCCUGCAGAGGCAGGAGACAUGCACGUUGGGCUGGCCCAGAGAGCUCAGGCAUCCAUCCAGGAUGGUUGCAACUGAGGGUUGUGGAAGGAUGAGCUGGAUGCAGCUGCAUGUUCAGCCAUGGCCAAACCAUGGAGGGCCCUGUGCAUCCUGCUGAGAAGUCUGGAUUCCUCUCUUCAGCUCUCAGCUUCACUCACCUGCUUUGGAUUUAUGCGCAACACCUACAAAAAUAGGUCAUGGAGAGUACUGAGGAGCUCCAUGGAGAGGAGCCCCAGAAAAGGGUCUGCAGGAGACAUGAGGGCUGGUGGAAGGUGAGUUGAGGCAGAAAUAGCAGGGACCAGUCUGAGGCAGGGCCAGGUGCAGGGGAGGGCACCUUGGGAAUCAGAGCCCAGGGGAGGCUCAGGCAGGGGGAAAGGUGGGUUCUCAAAGCUUUGUGUAUUUCAUUUUCCUUUUAAGUGUUUAUUCCACUCAGGAUGCUUAUUACAGCCUCUUUGUACUGUAGACAUUUGUAAACACCCACCAGUGGAUGGUCCAUUCUUGGAGGGCAGGUACUUGCUUUACUCACCUUUAUAUCCUAUAAUCAUGAGCACACUAGGGAGCCCAGUCAGAAUGUGUUGAAUGUACUUGGAAGUAAGUCAGCGAGUAAAUGGCAUCAAGUUAGAUGUAGGAGCUUAUUUCUUUUCAAUCUUUUUCUAAUUUUUUCUGAAUCCAAUCAUCAAGCAGCCCUAGAAUUCUAUACAGACACCUAAAUCAGCCUGUGUUUGUUCAAAAGAGGACAGAGAAGGUUUCCACCACACAGAAGAGAGAUUGGAAAAUAAAGUCAGGCAAAUAAUAUGAAAGUUGUGUUAGUCCUGAGCUCAAAGUGAGCAGAGGACAGAUUUCAUUGAGGUGUCUGUUUCCCACUUAGAACAUCCCCUUUUAUACAGGAAGAAGACAAUAAUUGUUUAUUGGAUGAAUGAAAAAGAUAUGAAUGAAUCAAUAAUAAUGAUAAAGAUAGAAAGAAGAAAGUGUCAUUAAUAAGUAGAUUUCAUGAAUUGACAAAACUGUCCAUCCAUGCCAUGUGGUAAAAUGAAACACAACCAAAAGAAGUGGCUUUCAAAAUGUUGAUUAAACCCAGCCCAUUUCUGAUCUAUUUAAUUUAAUUAUUCAGAGUCCUUGGUCUUCAAACCCUAGUUCUGGCCUCAGUUUUUCUCUGAUGUGCUAUAAUGAGUCAGUCCUCAGCCAAAGGCUUCCCAUAGCACUACCCUUAAAAGAGUUAUGCAGCUGUAUCCCUCUGGAUCAUAGAGCAGAGGGCUGUGAUUGGAUAGUGAUGACUACCAUGGCACAUGCCCGAAUGGUGGGACACAUAACAUGUGAUUUCACCAAAACAGCAGUAAGCUUUUUAGGAUGCUAGAAGCUGCCAAAUCAUUCAAUAGCUCGCCUUUUGACCUAUUGGUUCAAUUUGUAAACAUGCACUUAGUGAUGACUUAGGGAAACAAUGGGAAAAGGUAGGAGACUGGGCAUGAAUUCCAACUCUGCCACCCACAAACUGUGCACAACACGCUGAAUCCCUCUGGGCCUCAUUUUGGUCUGAAAAAUAGAGAUCCUCAGUCUGGUUGUGGGAAUGUUGUCCUCAUGCCUCACUAGCACACCCUGGAGACCAUUAAACUUGUGCUGAAUGCAUGUGUACAUGGGUCAACAAAUAAAUAGUACGGAUGGUGCACAGAAUGUACUCAGGGAAUGGCAUCAAGUGUCAGCUCUCAUUUUCACUGAUCUGCUGUGGAUUCAUGCACACUCCCUAUAAAAGUGGGUAGUAAGGGAGGUGCAUCAGGUCGCCCCCUUCAGAAUAGUCCCACACCAUUACCCUGUGUGAUAAACACAAUCUUAAAAUUGGAGAUGGUCCCCCAAGUUCCCAGGGACCAUCUCCCAGUUAUUCAAUCAAAUCCUAAUGUAGAUGCUGCUAGUAAGAGAUUUUGCAUAUGUGAUUAAGGUUGCAAAUCAGCUGACUUUAAGAGAAGAAUCUUACCCUUAGUGGACCUGAUCUAACCAGAUGAGACCUUACAAGGCUCUUCCUCGCAAAAGAGGUUUGAAGUGUGAGAGGGAUUCAGCAUGAAGGAAAUUCUGGGCUGCUAGCUUUGAAGAUGUGCUGAGGGCACAUCUUAAUUUACUUUUGUAUACCCAACAUGGUGUAUAUUACAUAGUAUGUACUCAGCAAGGUUUUAUUGGUUUUUUUUUGUUUUUUGGGUUUUUUGGGCAAUAAACUGAAAAGGUACAGAAUUACCAACUCACAACUUUGAGGUUCCUAUAAUGAAAAUUGGCACCAUUUCUGCCCUCCCCUUAAUCCUGACCUCUAGGUGCUAGAGGUGUCAUUGGACAUAGCAGAGAGUACUGAAGAUUUCCACUUUGUCAUAUAUCACAUAUAGUAGAUGGUGUGUGAGCACACAUGUGUGUGUAUGCGUGUGUGUGCGUGUUUGACUUUGGCCUAAACAACAGGAAUUUAUCAUCUUGUAUCUCUGAAGGCUGAAAGUCCAAGACCAAGGUGCAGCAGGGUCACUUCCCUCUGAGGGCUGUGAGGGAACGGUUGGUUCCAGGCCUCUCUCCUUGGCUUGGUGAUGGCUGUCUUCUCCCUAUGUCUUCACGUCAUCUUCAGUGAAGAGGGAAUUUCAGUAUGGAAAUGGAAUUCUGAAAAAAUUAGGCAUUUCAGAUCAGAAAUUAUUUGAAAUUAAUAAAUUAAAUUAAUAAUUAAAUUAAUAAAUCCUGAGUUUAGCAAAACUAAGGACAUAGAAAAAAAUAUUAGUUAAUAAGAAGACAGUGUUAAAUAAGUUUUCCAAACUGAGGCCAAAAAAGAGAAGAAAAAAAAAAAUAACAGACCAUGAGAGACAUGUAGGACAGUGAAAAGACAGAAGUAUUUGAAGAGAUAACAGCUGAGAAUGUUCCAAAACUGAUCAAAGAUAUCAACUAACUGAUUCAAGCAGGAUAAUAAGAAAAACACACAUAAGUGCUCUGUAGUCAAACUGCUGAACACCAAAAAUAAAAAUAAAAGUUGAAAACCAGCACUCCCCACAACCCCUCAAAAAGAUAUGGGAAUAGCAAUGAGAAUUCCAAGUGUCUUGACAACAGAAAUGAUGGAGGCCAAAUAAUAAAAGGAUAUCUUUAAAGUGUUAAAAAUAAAACUGUCUAAACUAGAAUUCUAUAUCAAGUAAAAAUCAUUUAAACUUGUAAUUGAAAUAAAGACACUUUUACUCAAACAAAAACUAAGAACAUUUGUUUGUAAGCAAAGCUUACCUUCAAAUAAAUGAUUAAAACUCAAGUUAACCAAAAAUAAUACCAGCCAGAGACACAGUUUUACAAGAAGAAAUGAGCAUCAGCAAGUAAACACACAUGUGUGCAUGAACACACACACUCGUAAGUAUGGAGAACUUUUUAUAUUAAAGACCACUGAUGGCUAAGAACAACAAAAAAUGUACUCUGCAACUGAUAACAUACAGAAAUAAAAUAUAUGAAAAUAGCACAGAUGGCGUGAAAGUAUAAA